rnacentral:rRNA from 1 species
GACGAACACUGGCGGCGUGCCUAACACAUGCAAGUCGAACGAGGUCCAUCCCGUGGCAACACGGGUGAAGACCUAGUGGCGAACGGGUGAGUAACACGUGAGGAACCUGCCCCGAAGACCGGGAUAACCCUCCGAAAGGAGAGCUAAUACCGGAUACCCCCACCUGGCCGCAUGACCGGGUGAGGCAAUGGAUUCCGCUUCGGGAGGGCCUCGCGGCCUAUCAGCUUGUUGGUGGGGUAACGGCCCACCAAGGCAUCGACGGGUAGCUGGUCUGAGAGGACGAUCAGCCACACUGGGACUGAGACACGGCCCAGACUCCUACGGGAGGCAGCAGUCGGGAAUUUUGGGCAAUGGGCGAAAGCCUGACCCAGCAACGCCGCGUGAAGGAUGAAGUAUCUCGGUAUGUAAACUUCGAAAGAAUAGGAAGAAUAAAUGACGGUACUAUUUAUAAGCUCCGGCUAACUACGUGCCAGCAGCCGCCGCGGUAA